rnacentral:tRNA from 1 species
CCAUCGGUGGUUCAGUGGUAGAAUGCUCGCGGGCGGCCCCGGGUUCGAUUCUCGGCCGAUGCA